GUUGGUGUAUUUUAGUGCCCCCAAAGCUGCAAUGUUUUGGAGAAUAGUAUUUAAAUUACAACUCAUAAAAGUUCUAGAUAGUUCGGUUCCUAGGAUGUCUGCCCAAAAUACAUCAGUGGCAAAUAUCGGAGGAACUGCUAAAGUUAACGAUUUACACACAAAAAAUUCCUUCGCUGCUUCCUGAGCCAAUGCAUCAGCUACCAUGUUUUGCUCCAUGUAACUGUGUCUCACCUUCACUCUGUCCAUUCUUUCGAUCAUCGUCCUGCAUUCUCUGAAGAGUCCGUGUUUAUCUCCAUCGGCAGAAGGUUAUUUCUUUCUGCUAGUUGAAGGCCUCUGGUAAGGGCUCUAAUCUC
rnacentral:lncRNA from 1 species